rnacentral:rRNA from 1 species
UACGGAGGGUGCAAGCGUUAUCCGGAUUCACUGGGUUUAAAGGGUGCGUAGGAGGGCAGGUAAGUCAGUGGUGAAAUCUCCGAGCUUAACUUGGAACUGCCGUUGAUACUAUCAAUCUUGAAUAUUGUGGAGGUAAGCGGAAUAUGGUCAUGUAGCGGUGAAAUGCUUAGAUAUGACAUAGAACACCGAUAGCGAAGGCAGCUUGCUACACAAUAAUUGACGCUGAGGCACGAAAGCGUGGGGAUCAAACAGG